rnacentral:rRNA from 1 species
UACGUAGGGUGCGAGCGUUAAUCGGAAUUACUGGGCGUAAAGCGUGCGUAGGCGGUUCUCCAAGUCCGUUGUGAAAGCCCCGGGCUCAACCUGGGAAUGGCAGUGGAAACUAGGGGACUGGAAUCUGGCAGAGGGGGGUGGAAUGCCGCGUGUAGCAGUGAAAUGCGUAGAGAUCGGGAGGAACACCAGAGGCGAAGGCGGCGACCUGGACAGGAACUGACACUCAACUACGAAAGCGUGGGGAGCAAACAGG